rnacentral:rRNA from 1 species
CGGACGGGUGAGUAACGCGUGGGUAACCUGCCUUGUACUGGGGGACGAACAGUUGGAAACGACUGCUAAUACCGCAUAAGCGCACAGCUUCGCAUGAAGCGGUGUGAAAAACUCCGGUGGUACAAGAUGGACCCGCGUCUGAUUAGCUGGUUGGUGAGGUAACGGCCCACCAAGGCAACGAUCAGUAGCCGGCCUGAGAGGGUGAACGGCCACAUUGGGACUGAGACACGGCCCAA